UACGUAGGGUGCGAGCGUUGUCCGGAAUUACUGGGCGUAAAGCGUGCGUAGGCGGUGUCUUAAGUUUGUUGUGAAAUCUCCCGGCUUAACCGGGAGGGUGCGGCGAUACUGAGAUGCUGGAGUGCCGGAGAGGUAAGCGGAAUUCCUGGUGUAGCGGUGAAAUGCGUAGAUAUCAGGAGGAACACCUGCGGUGUAGACGGCUUACUGGACGGUAACUGACGCUGAGGCACGAAAGCGUGGGUAGCAAACAGG
rnacentral:rRNA from 1 species